GUUCAGGGGGAUAAAACAUACUUUACCUGGAGACCACUAAAGAAGUCAGUCUUUGGAGGAAGGCACCUUGAGCAGCUAGCCAUCCCCUUCCCUGAGGUGGAGAAGCAGAAGGCACAGUCUGGGGCGGGGAAUGAUGGAGAUCUCAAGACCAGAGGGCAGAGCACACAGAGGUGGCGACGUCAUUGCCUGGUAGGAGAGACCAACAGUGAACAAUCACAAACAACAGUGAACAAUCACAAAAGGUGGUAAGGGCAUGAGAAGAGGGAAGAGCAGGGCACUGUGGGAUAGAAAAUCAGGCCACUUUUUUUUUUUUUUAGAUCAGGCUGCUCUCAACGUUGUCCUGGGGUAACGGUCAGGAUGUGUUUCUCUAAUACUUAAAAGUGUCGGGAAAACGUUUUAGGAGCAUCUGUGCCAAGUCUCCACCCCAGUCCUCAGUAGGGUCCACACAAACAUCACUGCCAUUAGUUGUAAGGAGGUGAAGGGAAGAGCACUUUGCCAGCUUUUGAAAGUAAUGGUGGUAACAGCUAAUACUUACUCGCUACGUACCUGGCAGAGUUCUACGCACUCGGUGUGUAUACCCCCAGGGCCGCAGAGCGGCAGAGCGGCUCUACGAGGCAGGUGCCCUUAUCGCUGCUCAGAGCUCCAGGCCACAUAUAAUGAAACUGAGGCAUAAAGAGGGGGAUUAACUUGCCCAAGGUGGGGUCAGGAUUGAAUUCAAACCCAGGUAGUUCUGCUGAAGUGUUCCCCUCCCUGUCCCAUUGUCCCAUUCCCAACCCAUCUGACACUGCCUGCCUCCCAAGGCCCUUACUGCCCUCCUUCUGCCUUUCAGUCUCUGUUCCAACCAGUGAGCUUCAGGCAGAGGAAAAACUAAUUUCAUGGCAUGGCAGGGAAAUGGCACACCCUUCAGUAGGAUAACAGAUGACCUAAGGGUCAAAGAACGGCAGGUGCCCAGCAGUGUAGGGAGAGGGGGCAUUUCAGCUCCGCAGACCAUGAUAAAUAUGUUCACAAAGCGGCAGGAAUUGUUCCUCCACGAGAAAAAAAAACAUAUAUGAAGAGGAAAGACUGCUUAUUUCCUUGAUAGAUAAGCCUUCUUUGUCAUUGGAAAACCGGCAGAAACGUGUCCCAUCAGGAUCUACUUAAUACAAAGCCUGGUACUAGAUUCCAGGGGCACAAAAAUGAGCAAGACUCAGCCUUUGUCCUCAAAUAGCUUGCAGACUAAUAGGGAGAAAGAGACUAAACAGGUACCUAAAACUUCAUUAAAAAAGUCUAAUGGAGCACCAGCACAGUGCCUGAGUAGUGAGAAGGGAGGAAGAGUUCAUUUCUCGGGAUGAGUGAAGAUUCCCAGGGAAGGUGCCAUUCACUUUACAUCAUGAAGGAUGGAUUAUGUUUCGACAACACAGGUAAGGAAGUAAGUGGGAAGGGGACUUGUUAGGCCAUAGAUCAAAAUACCAGCAUAUAAAAUUAGAAUCAUCCAAAGUUGUUGUUUUUGCAGGUUAAUAAAAAAGGUCAGCUAUGGGCAAUUUCAACCUAAUACCAAAGAUCUGCCAAAAUAAGGGGCACCUGGGUGGUUCAGUCGAUUGAGUGUCUGACUUCAGCUCAGGUCAUGAUCUCAUGGUUCGUGGGUUCGAACCCCAUGUUCAAGCUGUGCUGACAGCUCAGAGACUGGAGCCUGCUUCAGAUUCUGUGUCUCCCUCUCUCUCUCUGUCCUUCCCCUGCUCAUGCUCUGUCUCUCUCUCUCUGUCUCUCUCUCUCUCUCAAAAAUAAAUAAACGUUAAAAAAAAAAAAAAAGAUCUACCAAAAUAAGAAAUGCCUUUCUUCUUUGGAUUGACUAAACUUUAAUUAUUUUAAUCACAAGAAAGAAAUUUCAGCACACCCAGAGACAAGUAUCUAGAGACUUUCUGUCCCAGAGUCUAUCCUGAACAAAAACAGAGCAUAGCAGAUUUUCUGUCACAAUCCACCAGCUCCUGGCCCCUGCCAGCAAGGGGAGUCUUCAGAAAUGACAGGACCAAUUCAAGUUUCCAAUGCAGGGCCAAUUCACUUGCUCUUUGGGAUGGGCAACAGAAGGGACACCCACUGCUUGCAACCAAGUUUCUGCCAGCAACGACCAGGCAUCAAUUCCAAAGCCGAGAGGUGUUUUUUGGUUUUUUGGUUUUUUACCCCUUCUAUUGUUUUCUUUAGGGCAGAAGUGGAAGGACAGUAGUUACAUCCAACUACAACACUCUUGCCAAGUUUCUUGAUUUGUCAUUAGAAACAUUCAAAAGUGGGGACACCUGGGUGGCUCAGAGGGUUAAGCAUCUGACUCUUGAUUUUGGCUCAGGUCAUGAUCUCAUGCUUCAUGGGAUCAAGCCCGGCAUCAUGCUCUGUACUGACAGCACAGAGCCUGUUUGGGAUUCUCUCUCUGUCUCUCUCCUGCCCCUCCUGCCCCCUCCCCAACCUCUCAAAUAAAUUAAUUUAAAAAAAAGAAACAUUCAAAAAUGAGCAAGCUAUCUUAUAUAACAGCAAUACAUGUUAAAACAUCAGAAAUAGUAUUUUCCACCUAUGAUACCGGCAAAAGAAAAAGCUUAAAAAUAUCUGGUGGGGGUGUAAAUGGGUACAUUCUUUUUUGCAGGGCAAUUUGGCAACAACCAUCACAUUAUAAUGCAGUUCCUCGUCCCUCCUAUUACUGAACAAGUCCCUUCUGAAACCGGUAAGUGGGAGCAGAGUUACAAAAUCAGAAAGGGAAACAAAAUAACCAACCCAGCUGUGUCAGAUUGGAAUUGGAGGUAUGGGGGGGGGGGGACCCAUGAUAUACCAUCUACUCAAAUAGAUGCAGAAAUAAAUACACACAGUGCAUGUUCACAUGUACACAUACACACAGAUAUUCCCUAGAUGUCCCCAGAGGGCUUGGGAGCAGUGACGCCUCGACUACAGAGAGCAUACCUAGAGUUCAGAUCGUGGCUUUUAUUUAUUUAUUUUUUUAAGUUUAUUUAUUUUGAGAGUGGGGGAGGGGCAGGGAGAGGGGAGAGAGAAUCCUAAGCAGGCUCCACGCUGUCGGCUCACAGCCCAAUAUGGGGCUCGAACACACUAACCAUGAGACCAUGGCCUGAGCCGAAAUCAAGAGUCAGAUGCUUAACCAACUGAGCCCCUCAGGUCCCCCUAGAUCUUGACUUUUAAAAUAUUGUUUGCCACUAAAAGGAACCAGGAGUCCUUGGAGAAAUGGCUGAUUCAGAGCUGGGGAGGGAAGAUCACAAGAUGGGCCUGGAACAUUUUGUUGCAGCGUACGAUACAUCCAAAUACAAAGUGGAUAUGGAAAAGCAAAUAUAAUAGUCCUGAAACAAUCUUUUUUUUUUUUUAAGUUUAUGUACUUAUUUUUGAGACAGAGAGUGCAAGCAGGGGAGGGGCAGAGAGAGAGGGAGAGAGAGAGAGAGAGAGAGAGAAUUCCAAGAAGGCUCUGCACUGUCAGCGCAGAGCCCAAUGUGGGGCUGGAACCUAUGAACCAUGAGAUCGUGACCUGAGCUGAAACCAAGAGUCAGAUGCUUAACUGACUGAGUCACCCAGGUGUCCCAGCUCUGGACCAAUCUACAGAAUCCACUGUCAUAUGGGAAAAGCCAAGUGCAGAACAAGUGCACGAAUGCUAUCAUCUGUGUACAAGAAAGAGAUGAUGAGAAAUGUGUCAAUGUGCACGUUUUUCUAUGUACAGAGGACCACUCCUGAUACAGGAAGCAUGGAGUGCCUCUGGGAAAGGAGAGUGACAUGGGAGGAAGGAUCAUCUUUUACCCCUUGUGUGACUCUGGGUUUUGUAGCAAGUGACUAUAAUACCCGUUCAAAAAAUUAUUUCUUAAAAAGCAAAAUGUGUAUUACCUAGGAUCAGAAGGAAUAUUCACAAGAAGUUUUGCAAAUUUAUCUGAUAUUUUUCUCUUGUUCCAAAUUAGUAAUCUGCCUUCUGGGAAGGAACACGCAGCUCCCUGCAGUGCCUUGUUUAAGGACAAUAAACCAUGCUCAUUGCCCGUUAUUUCCAUCUUCUUUCCCUGAGAAAAUAAUUAUUUCCUGGGAUCGUUGGUGUUAUGAAUUGGAUUGCCUCCCCGCUAAAAUGCAUAUGUCGAAAUCCUAUUUGGAGAUCAGGUCUUUAAAGAGAUAAUUAAGUUAGGGGCGCCUGGGAGGCUCAGUCGGUUAAGCGUCCGACUUCGACUCCGGUCAUGAUCUAGCGGUUUGUGAGUUCGAGCCCCAUGUCGGGCUCUGUGCUGACCGCUCAGAGCCUGGAGCCUGCUUCGGAUUCUGUGUCUCCCCCUCUCUCUGCCCCUCCCCUGCUCAUGUUCUGUCUCUAUCUCAAAAAUAAAUAAAAACAUUAAAAAAAAU